AAGAAAUUGAUGGAUGAGGAUUGAUUGAUUGAUUAGUUUCAAGGUUUUUCUCUUCUCUCUGCCAUUUCUAGUUUAAGACUGCCUUUAUGACCAAUUAGUGGAGAGUUUAGAAAUUAUAGGUUUCCCCAUACACAGAUAAGAAGGAUAUAGAAACUGAAGAGUUAUAUUUUUACCACAUUUUCUGCCCUGCUUUUUUCUUCUUAUUAUAUUUCUACUUUU
rnacentral:misc_RNA from 1 species